AUGAACGCUAGCUACAGGCUUAACACAUGCAAGUCGUGGGGCAGCAUGGGAGAUGCUUGCAUUUCCUGAUGGCGACCGGCGCACGGGUGAGUAACGCGUAUCCAACCUGCCCCUUACUCCGGCACAGCCCGUCGAAAGGCGGAUUAAUGCGGGAUGCAGUCAGAGAGAUGCAUAUAUGUCUGACGAAAGGAAAUGUCCGGUAAGGGAUGGGGAUGCGUCCGAUUAGCUUGACAGCGGGGUAACGGCCCACCGUGGCUACGAUCGGUAGGGGUUCUGAGAGGAAGGUCCCCCACAUUGGAACUGAGACACGGUCCAAACUCCUACGGGAGGCAGCAGUGAGGAAUAUUGGUCAAUGGGCGAGAGCCUGAACCAGCCAAGUAGCGUGCAGGAAGACGGCCCUAUGGGUUGUAAACUGCUUUUGUACGGGAAUAAAGUUGGCCACGUGUGGCCAUUUGCAUGUACCGUACGAAUAAGAACCGGCUAAUUCCGUGCCAGCAGCCGCGGUAAUACGGAAGGUCCGGGCGUUAUCCGGAUUUAUUGGGUUUAAAGGGAGCGUAGGCCGUCUCAAAAGCGUGUUGUGAAAUGUCCCGGCUCAACCGGGGAUGUGCAGCGCGAACUGUGAGACUUGAGUGUGCGGAAGGUAUGCGGAAUUCGUGGUGUAGCGGUGAAAUGCAUAGAUACCACGAAGAACUCCGAUUGCGAAGGCAGCAUGCCGCAGAACUACUGACGCUGAUGCUCGAAGGUGCGGGUAUCGAACAGGAUUAGAUACCCUGGUAGUCCGCACAGUAAACGAUGGAUGCUCGCUGUGAGUCAGUUGUGAUUUGCGGCCAAGCGAAAGCGUUAAGCAUCCCACCUGGGGAGUACGCCGGCAACGGUGAAACUCAAAGGAAUUGACGGGGGCCCGCACAAGCGGUGGAGCAUGUGGUUUAAUUCGAAGCAACGCGAAGAACCUUACCAGGUCUUGACAUCGAUCUAAAGGCUCCAGAGAUGGAGAGAUAGCUAUAGAGAAGACAGGUGGUGCAUGGUUGUCGUCAGCUCGUGUCGUGAGAUGUUGGGUUAAGUCCCGCAACGAGCGCAACCCUUGUGAUAUGUUACUAACAUUGAGUUGAGGACUCAUAUCAGACUGCCGGUGAUAAACCGGAGGAAGGUGGGGAUGACGUCAAAUCAGCACGGCCCUUACGUCCGGGGCUACACACGUGUUACAAUGGGGCAUACAGAGAGCAGGGUGUACGCAAGUGCGUCCAAAUCAAGAAAGUGCCUCUCAGUUCGGACUGGGGUCUGCAACCCGACCCCACGAAGCUGGAUUCGCUAGUAAUCGCGCAUCAGCCAUGGCGCGGUGAAUACGUUCCCGGGCCUUGUACACACCGCCCGUCAAGCCAUGAAAGCCGGGGGCGCCUGAAGUCCGUGACCGCGAGGGUCGGCCUAGGGUGAAACCGGUGAUUGGGGCU
rnacentral:rRNA from 1 species